CGGGAAACGGAAAACCCUUCUCCCUAGCAUCGACAUUUGAUUCAAAAUCCCAAGCUGUCUGGAUUCAAUUGAGAUCCGACUUCCGAUUUCAUAGUCCAAUUUCUUUGUUGUUGAACCAUUUCCUGCCGGGUACCUUGAAUCGAAGCUCUCAUGGCAUCGAAGAAGAAAGAAUCCGAAGGGAUAGCUUUACUCUCGAUGUAUAAUGACGAGGACGAUGAUAUGGAAGACGUUGAAGACGUAGAAGAAGAAGAAGAAGAAGAAGAAGAAGAAGAAGAAGAAGACAGUGAACUGCACCAGCAGAGGCAAGAUGAGGGAGGAGAGGAUGAUUAUGGAGUUAGGGUUGCAGAAGAAGAGUCAGCUGUAAACAGCGAUAGAAUGAUUGUCAGUGAAUCUGCUAAUGAUUCGACGCCGCCGGUUGAUGAUGAAAAUUUCACCCCAGAGAAGCUCAAAUUCGGGUCUUCCACUCCGCAGCCGCCCCAGGCUGUGGUUUCAAUGUCGCCAAUGCUAUUACAAGAUAAUUCUGGUAGAAGAAGGGGGACGCUUGCGAUAGUUGAUUACGGUCACGACGAAGCCGCAAUGUCUCCAGAGGCCGAGGAUGGAGAAAUUGAAGAAUCUGGUCGUGUCACAUUUGGCGAUGAGCUUUUAGGCACCAAUGGUGAUUUUGAUAGAACAUCUCCCGGGACUGUAAGAGUUCCAACACCAAACAAUUUAGCCACUCCUCAAAUUUCUGAAUCACCACAUUCUGGUUCAAUGAACAACAUAAUACUGGAAUCUGAAACUGAAAAAGUUGAGGAAACUGUUGAAGAGGAGAAAAAAGAUAUCAAUCCUUUGGACAAGUUUCUUCCGCCACCACCAAAAGACAAAUGCUCAGAGGAGCUGCAAAGGAAAAUCAAUAAGUUUCUUGAGUAUAAGAAAGCUGGAAAAAGCUUCAAUGCUGAAGUACGCAAUAGAAAGGACUACCGGAAUCCUGAUUUCUUAUUACAUGCUGUGAGGUAUCAAGAUAUUGACCAGAUUGGGUCUUGCUUCAGUAAGGAUGUGUUUGACCCGCAUGGAUAUGAUAAAAGUGACUACUAUAAUGAAAUAGAGGCUGACAUGAAACGUGAGAUGGAGAGGAAGGAGCUGGAAAGGAAGAAAAGUCCGAAGAUGGAGUUUGUUUCAGGAGGAACACAACCUGGUGGUACAGUUGUGAAUGCUCCUAAAUUAAAUAUACCUUUUUCAGGUGUUUCAGCUAUCGUUGGUAGUGGUCUACAUUCAGCAGCUUCUGCAUCUGAUGCCAUUCCUAGGGAUGGAAGACAAAACAAAAAAUCAAAAUGGGAUAAGGUAGAUGGUGAUAGAAGAAACCCAGUAAUUUCUGGUGGCUCAGAUGCAGCUAGUGCUCAUACAGCUUUACUAUCUUCUGCUAAUGUUGGCUCUGGAUAUAUGGCUUUUGCGCAACAGAGACGGCGAGAGGCUGAAGAAAAAAGAUCCAGUGAGAGAAAGUUGGAUAGAAGAUCCUGAGAGCAAUGAAUUCUGUUCCAUAACAUUUAGUUCUAAACCAUUUUGAAAGGCUAGGGAAAUGGCCACAUUGUAGCUUUAUAUCUGUGACUAACCAUAUAUACGGUCAGAAUGAAAAUAUUAUCCAGGGGCCAACAAAUUUCGCCAAACGAUGGAGGAAGAUUUUUUUUUGUAUGAGUUUCAUGAGGGGGAAAAAUUGGCUGCACAUCAAGUACAUGGUGGUUGCAUAUUUUCAACACAAGUACGUGGGUCAGCUUGAAAAGGUAAGCCAUUGGCAUCCAUUAACUGUUGUGUUUAUUUUCUUUUUUUCCCUUCACUCGACUCUCGAGGAUAUAGGAUUCCUUGGAAUUGGAAGGCGAAGAAAACUGUCUAUUCUCCCAGACUAAAAUAGUUGCUUUUGGAAUGCAACACAACUUGUCUUCUUUUCAUAGAGAGAGAAAAGAAAGAGAUGGCAUGUGAAGCUAAAGAUUUGUCCCAUGGAUGCAUGUAAAGACUAGCUCUUAAGUUCAGAGAGGGUGACAGUUUCUCUUGAAAACUUGCAUCCAUUUUCCCCUUUAUAUCGACCCUUUCUACCUGU